rnacentral:rRNA from 1 species
AUACGUAGGUGCCAAGCGUUAUCCGGAUUUACUGGGCGUAAAGGGCGUGUAGGCGGUCUUGCAAGUCAGAAGUGAAAUUCCUGAGCUCAACUCGGGCGCUGCUUCUGAAACUGCAGGACUUGAGUGCUGGAGGGGAUAGCGGAAUUCCUAGUGGAGCGGUAAAAUGCGCAGAUAUUAGGAAGAACACCGGUGGCGAAGGCGGCUAUCUGGACAGUAACUGACGCUGAGGCGCGAAAGCGUGGGGAGCAAACAGGAUUAGAUACCCUGGUAGUCCACGCUGUAAACGAUGAAUACUAGGUGUAGGGGGUAUCGACUCCCUCUGUGCCGCAGUUAACACAAUAAGUAUUCCGCCUGGGGAGUGCGGCCGCAAGGUUGAAACUCAAAUGAAUUGGCGGGG